AUUCUUCGCCCCUGCCGGUUUUGUAACGAGACCGGGAGGAAGGCGGACGUGGGGGCCUGCCGCGGCGACGCGGCUCCCCUCAAAUGCAUCGGUGGGGCUUCCGAGCGUUCCACGGGCGUUGUAUUGUCCUCGUCCGACACUGGGCCUCGUCACCCGCCUCGACCUGCCGUGAGAGCGGCGGUCAAAGCACUUUGAA
rnacentral:misc_RNA from 1 species